GUCAGCUUAUCUCUUCUGCAUCAAGAGGGGUCAACUGCAAGUCUGGGAUGGUGGCUGAGCUGAUCUUGGGACCCCAGGCCCUUCUAGAACGAAGUCUCAGCGUGGGAGCCAGGAGCAGACAGGGUCUCGACCUCAGAGAGCUUCCAGCCUGAUGGAGAGAGCCGGAAGAGUCAGGCUGGCUCUGUGGCUGCCCGUGGUCUUGGGGCAGGAGGGCUCCAACUAUGGGCCUGGAAAAAGGAGGGGCAGAGGCUUGAGGGACUGGUAGAGACUGGGGAGAGAAGAAAGAGGCAGGGUGUUCUAGGCAGGAAGAUCAGUAUGGGCAAAGUGGGAAGGCUGGACUGAGUAACGUACAUAUGUGUGCACGAGUCUGUGUAUACUAGCGAGAGCAUGCCCUAGGGGCCUUGGAGAAUAUAAAAUCCAACUUUUCAUUUUAUUGGUGAGGAAGCUGAGGCUAGAGAAGGGAAGGGACAUGUCUCUGGUCAGAGUGAGGUCCUGACUGACUCCAGCUCCAGUCCAGGUUCUGCCUCCAAUUCCUGGGUUCUAAAGACGGAGGUGUCAAGCUGAGCUGCCAAGUCCCUCCUUCUCCGGCUUUUUGCUGGUCCCACAGUGGUCUUGGUGAUGCAGAGCAGGGGCUUAACAGUGAUGUCUGCCUUCUGGCCAAUGGGAGGGUCUGGGGCUGGGCACUCUAUCCCUGUCCAGGAGUCCCAAACAAACCCGGAGUGGCUGCUUACACCUCGGCCUUAUCCACAAGGCAUGUCCCAAGCCCAGACUCUGGACACCCAGAGAAGAACCCAGCACUGAACACCAGGCCGAAUGGGCUCCAACACCCACGCUAGAGAAAGCCCCAACCACCUGACCCAGAGAGAACUUACAACUGGGCUCUGAACACAGAGAAAAGGUCCCAGCACCUGACCCAGACGCAUCUACACAGGCUGAGUUUCCAUUACAAACUCAGUACUGGAUCACUACAACGCCAUCCAGAAACUCCCGUAAAGAACCGAACAUCCAAAUGCGAGCACCCAGAGAGGGUCCCAGCACCCAAACCCUGAACACUAAGAGGAGAUCCCAACACCCGAACCGGGUCCAUUUGGAUCUGCUUCCAACCCAGACCCAGAACAUCCCGAUUAGAUGCCUACAAUUGACUCAGAUCUGGAGCCCACACCGGGAAUGGACUCACCCAGUCCUCCCUCCUCCCCAUCCAGCCUCGGUGAGGCUCAUCCUGAGAGGUCUUCCAAGUUCGAAGACUUUUUCUGCCGAUAUGUGUGACCAUCGAUCGGGAUGACUGCGACUGGGGAAGGGAGCAGGAGGCCAGGCCUGUUCCCUUUGGGGGAAAGGGGAGGGGAUCCAGUUUGCAGGGCUAGGGUGGGAGCGGGCAGGCGGGGUGUGCGCCCCGGCCGCUUCCAGUCGGCGCGGGAGCUGGGACGGAAGCUGUGCGCCCUCGGAGCCCCUGCAGUCCCCUCACCGGGCGCUCCCAAACAGCCCGCGGGGCGCUGGGCGCGGGGCCAGGAAAUCCGGCGCCGGCCCUUGAAGCGCACCCGGGCCGGGAGGGGGCGGCGGGGGCGGCGGGGGCGGGCUGGGCGCUGGCACCACGACCGCCCGCUGAGCAACGUGACUGCGCGGGCUCGGGUCCCCACCAGGACAAGGCGGCCUCUGUGCCGACCCAGCUGAUUCCUCUCGGGCUGCAAAUCCCUUCCGGCUGACAGCCCUGCCGGCUGGGGCCAGGCAAGGGAACGGGAAGCGGGGUUGGGGGCGAGGUGGGCGCUGAGGAUUGGAGCCCAUUGGCGGGAGGCCCCCAGGAAGGCCGUCUGCUCCGUACAUCCAGGGUAGCAAAGGCUACCGUUCCCGGACAGAGAAGCCGAGGCUAGGAGAGGUCCAAUUACUAGCCCAAGUCGCACAACUUGUUUCUUGGUUAAAGCCAGAGUUCUAAAUGACGCCCCAUGAUAAACUCUGUAUUUGUUGUUGAGAGUUAGGUGGCGUUAUUAGUCUCAGUUUAUAAAUGAAGGAAUGUGAGGCUCAGAGUUGAAGCCGCCAGCCCAACGUCCUAAGACAAGAAGGGAGUGAGGCUGGGACUGGAGCCCAGGACUGCCUGCUCCAAAACAUGGGGGCCAGGCAGUCCCAGCAGACCCCUGACCCCAGGUAAUCACUGACAACAAGCCGGAGGCUCUGCCAUGGGCCCGUCCCAGGGUCCCCCUGCUCAUGGCCUUCUGUCUGGUUGGUUCAGUGUGGUGGACCCGAGGAAUGAGUUCCGUUAAUCUCCUGGAGGACAGAUGUGGGGCUGAAGGAGGGAGAUGGGGUGAGGGUGGAGGCGCCAGGUGGCUGGAGAGGGGACUGGAGGGCAAUGCAUCUGGGAAAUGACUUUCCAGAGGUCCCUCUGCCCUCCCCCUGCAGCUGGGGACGGAGCUGGAACCCCAGAGGCCAUGAGGGUGGGCUGGGGAACCAUCCAGGAUCCAGCCUCACCCUGGCCUCCCAGGAACAGGAUGGGGAUUGUCCCGUGAAUUCUAUGGAAUUAAAAAAUGGCACCUUCUCAGCGGGAAGGGAGCUCGGCUGGUUCCCGGGACUGUCUGGCUUCUGUCCUGACUCCUACAACUGCGGC
rnacentral:lncRNA from 1 species